rnacentral:rRNA from 1 species
UACGUAGGGUGCAGGCGUUAAUCGGAAUUACUGGGCGUAAAGCGUGCGCAGGCGGUUUGCUAAGACAGGUGUGAAAUCCCCGGGCUUAACCUGGGAACUGCGCUUGUAACUGGCAAGCUAGAGUGUGGCAGAGGGGGUGGAAUUCCAGGUGUAGCAGUGAAAUGCGUAGAGAUCUGGAGGAACACCGAUGGCGAAGGCAGCCCCUGGGCUAACACUGACGCUCAUGCACGAAAGCGUGGGAGCAACAGGAUUAGA